ACAACGACUCUCGGCAACGGAUAUCUCGGCUCUCGCAUCGAUGAAGAACGUAGCGAAAUGCGAUACUUGGUGUGAAUUGCAGAAUCCCGUGAACCAUCGAGUCUUUGAACGCAAGUUGCGCCCGAAGCCUUUAGGCCGAGGGCACGCCUGCCUGGGCGUCUCA
rnacentral:rRNA from 1 species